rnacentral:tRNA from 1 species
AAUGAAGUGCCUGAAUAAAGGGUUAUUUUGAUAGAAUAAAUCAUGUAUUUUAUACCUUCAUUA